CCUUCAGAAUGCAGCACCUAUAGACAGAUGUAUGAAUUGUCAAUUUUACAUUCUGGGAUCUAUUUUUGAGGAGUUGGAUUCUUUUUUUUUUUUUUUUUNUUUUAAUCCUUCAGAAUGCACCACCUUAUAGACAGAUGUAUGAAUUGUCAAUUUUACAUUCUGGGAUGUUCUUUGGUCUACUGGUGGUUUGUUCUAUUCCUAAAUAGGAAAAACGUUUAUAAAAUUAAAUAAAAGAUUAAGCACAAUUUAAAUUAAAGAAGGCCAGUGAUAACAGUUUGUCAUGCAACAACAGCUAUUGUUCUCACUAAAUUCCAUUACAGAAUUACACAGUCUGUUAUCUCUUUAGUAAUGAGCAACUAACUGCACAUGCAUUACUAUUAUUCAGUUCUGUUGCACUGAGUGUGUGCAAUUUUAUCAUUACAGUGAAUAAAUGAAUAAGUUAAUAACAAUCAGUAGCUUGAAGGGACAAAGCAUGGGCCAGUGACGAACGUGUCUUGGAAGAAUUAUUGAUUUAACCGGUUCCACUCCCAUGAUGCUCCUCUUAAGACAAAAAUCCUGGCUCUGGCAAGUUUGGUUAAGAACACAGACAGACACAAUCACAUUUCUGUCCUGGGUUUCUGAGGCUUUAACUCUUGUGCCCUUUCUUUAAAAAGAAUGAAUAGCGUCUGCAUUAAUUUGUGAGUUAAUAAAUAAAUGAAUAAAGUAGGAUCGAGUUCAUUGUUCAUUGGUAUGACAUUUCCUUGAAAAGAGACGACUCUAACUCUGCACAAGGGAGGCUCAGAGAGGCAGGCGGUUAUCUGUAUGGGUGAAGCAUUGGGAUGGAAGCCUCACAGACAGCUCUGGCUCUUGAUGCAGAUGGUGGAUUCAAACGUAUCUGGGUUUGUUUUUUUAAUCUUUUUUUUUUAAUUAAAGUAUAGUUGAUUUACAAUGUUGUGCCCAUUUCUGCUGCACAGCAAAGCAACCCAGUCAUACAUAUACACACAUUCCCUCUUCUCAUAUUAUCUUCCAUCAUGGUCUGUCCCAAGAGACCAGCUGAAGUUCCCUGUGCUGUACAGCAGGACCUCAUGGCUUAUCCGUUCUAAAUCUAAUCGUUUGCACCUACCAACCCCAAAUCCCAGCCCAUCCCACUCCCUCCACUGCCCCCUUGGCAUCCACGAGUCUGGUCUCUUUGUCUGUGGGUCCAUUUUUCCAUUUUGCAUAUAUGUUCAUUUGUCUCUACACAAAUGCCAUGUUUUCGAUUCCACAUAUAUGUGAUAUUAGGUAACAUUGUAAAAUUCGUCCUUGAGAUAAUUAGAUCAAAGGAGAUGUGACUUUUCUGCCAGUUGAAGCAAGGGACAUGGCCCAAAGUGUAAGAUUAAUCUAAACCCGCUCUCCCUGCCUCCAUUAGCAUAUCGGGGCACAUUGGAAAUCUAGGAUGUUUUAUUCUUUUUAGCAUUUGCUUUCUACUCCCCAGAGUGGCUCCUCGCGGGUAAACUGGGUGGUCAGGGAGUCUCUGGGUAAGAAGCUUACAGGCCUGUAAGGGUGGCACACAACGUUUGCAUCCUUGGGUGGGUAGUUUCCCCAUGGGUGUUCAUUGUGUUACCAAAAAAUGGAUAAUUGGCUACAUCCGAACACAAAAUUUAAAAAGACCAGAAACAGGAAUGUGUUACAUACCAAGGAUGAGGAUGUGAUCAGUCAGGGCGACUGUCGAACUGUCUAUAUUUGAAUGUCAUCCUAAUGAACUCUGAGGUUCAUUACCAAGUACAUCAGAGAUGUUGCCUCUUUAUGGCAAAGGCCAUUUAGACGGAGAAUAGUCAUCGUCAGUGUUCUUGCUCUGGAUCAGUGAUGAGUUCUAGUUUGUUUAUUUAAUUAAGAGAAAAAACUAAUGAAAUGAAUGAAUUAAUACCUAAAUAGCAAGUCAAUCUAGGCGGAGAACCAUGAAGCAGCGGAGAGAAUUUUGCAGUUUUCUUCUUUUGGCCAAGGGAUAUGCUUCUUUUAUUUAACACGAAAAUCUGUAUACCUUGUCUUAUUUUAAAAAUUUAAAGUUAUAAAAGAAUGUAUAUUCAUUUCCCCUCCCCCCCUUUUUCGGUGCUGUUUGCUUUGUACUUCGCAGAACGGACAGGCGCUGAUAAUCAUGCCGCAAUGAUCAAGACCCACAUGGUUCAAGGAUGUGUGCCCCACAGCUGAUUAAAUUAUUCCCCAGUCAUGGAGAGCCGCCACCUUGUUCCUCGGAGAAAGGGCCAUGUCAUGUCAUAAUGGCUGCACCUUGUUUGUUUCCGUCCUUAUUUAAUGAUGAAGAUCUUGGCUCUUACCUUUGUGGCCAAGGAGAGCAGAGAGAUUGGGGUAAGUAACAGAUGAAAUAUUUAUUCGUGGUUUCAUCAUUUUGUUUAUGGAUGGCCUAUAAUUCUUAAAAAGAAGAGAUGUCUUCAUGCAAUCAUAAAACAAAUCAAAGCAGCACAGGCAGAGACCAAUGAUAAAAACUGGCCUGAAAAGGAUCAUGGCUCAAUCAUUUUGCAAAACCGAAAAAACAGGUUUCCAUUAGAAAGGUUGAUUGCCCCCUCUUAGAGUAAGAGGAUUAUAGGCACUUCUAGGCUUGGUCAAGGAUCUUGUUCUUGGGUUGGUUGUGUUUUCCUUGGGUUAUAAAUAAUCAACCACAAAAUAAGCUGGUAAAAAAAAGAAACAUAAAAAUUAAAGAUAAAGAGCCAGUAAAAUCACAGCGGCCACUCAUGACCAAUGAUGUAAUUAUUCAUAAAACAAGAAUUUGUUUAAUUCAGUUUAACAGUUUGCCACUCUACUUAAGAAGUACAUAGACUUUGGGAGUUCCUGUCGUGGCACAGUGGUUCACGAAUCCGACUAGGAACCAUGAGGUUGCGGGUUCGAUCCCUGACCUUGCUCAGUGGGUUAAGGAUCCGGCAUUGCCGUGAGCCGUGGUGUAGCUCACAGACACGGCUCAGAUCCUGCAUUGCUGUGGCUGUGGUGUAGGCUGGUGGCUACAGCUCCGAUCCGACCCCUAGCCUGGGAACCUCCAUAUGCCAUGAGAGCAGCCCAAGAAAUGGCAAAAAGACACACAAAAAAGAAGUACACAGACUUAACAGUCAAAAAUUCCUCCCUUGUUUGGAAGUAGAGUCUUUACUUUUGACUUUAUUUUUGAAAAUGAGUACCUGACUAAAUUAACAACAAGGGAAAAUUUACAUAUAAAGAAAAUUAAAAUAACCCAAGUGUCCCAGUGAUACAAGUGUACGAAACAAGAAUUAUCAUCAACCCAAUUUUGCCUGUUUGAGAUCCACUUAACCUAAGAGAUUUAAUGUUACAUUGGACAUAGAUAAAUAUGUGUGUCUGUAUCUUUGUAUCUACGUGUGUGUGUGUGUGUGUGUGUGUGUGUGAGUGUGUAGAGGACGUGGUUUAUCAUGAGGACAUAGAUGGUAAAAUGUCUAUAGAUUUUGUUCUUGCAUUUUAGUGGGUUCAGGAGUGUUACUGUGUUCAUCAUUAUUACUGUUUAUUAUUGUAAAUCAGUCCGUGAAAAAUUAAAUGAGAAGAAGUCAAAUCAUGGGCCAGUGAAACAAGGAUUGUGAUUAUUACAGUUCUGCCCCACUGACACUCAUGAACUGAAACAUUUUUAAAAUAUUUGUUUUAAUAGUAUCUGGUAUAUAGUACUACAUGUUGUACUGACAUAAUUUGGAUAGUUUUGCAUGCUUCUCACCUAGGUUGUUUUUUUUUCCCCUCCAUCAGGCACAGAUACUAGUGACCUGAUUGGAGGUAAUGACAGGAGGCCCCCCUACCCCCUAUUUUAUGUUUUUCUGGCACUUUGUACCUGGGAGAGUGCUCCAGUAACUGAUGCUAAGUAUUCAUUUCAGCUCAGCAAGGACUGCUUCAAGUCUGUGUCAGGCUCUGGGCCGGUCAUGGCGUUCAUAUCUCAAUCUGAUCUCAUUCCCGCAUUCAAGCGGCUCCUUAGGCUUAGGUGGAGACCUACGUAUAAAGGUAGUAAUUCAGUAUCAUAAGGCCGGUAGGUGAGCUUUCCAGACGCACAAACGGCAGGACCCCAGUUCAGUUUUACGUGUCAAAUGCUUUAUAAAAGUGAAGAUGCCUGAGCCACUAAGCAACUCCGUUGGCUGAAAGGUCCGUGAAGUUAGACAUCAUACCCCAUCCAGGGCUCUGCCCAAUGCAGUUAGCACAGAGAGCCCACCUAAGCCGUUUGUUAAAUGACCCAUUGACUCAAUGAUGAAAGACAGAGAGAAUGAAUGAAUGAAGCGACGAGUUAGUCAAUGAAUGAGUCUUGGAGUAAGCAAAGGAAAGAAAAAAA
rnacentral:lncRNA from 1 species